UACGUAGGGCGCAAGCGUUGUCCGGAAUCAUUGGGCGUAAAGAGCUCGUAGGUGGUCUGUUACGUCUGCUGUGAAAACCUAGGGCUUAACCCUGGGCCUGCAGUGGAUACGGGCAGACUAGAGGUAGGUAGGGGAGAAUGGAAUUCCCGGUGUAGCGGUGAAAUGCGCAGAUAUCGGGAGGAACACCGGUGGCGAAGGCGGUUCUCUGGGCCGAAACUGACGCUGAGGAGCGAAAGCGUGGGGAGCAAACAGG
rnacentral:rRNA from 1 species